UAUACUUGUGAGAUAUGUAAAUAUGUUAAUACUAAAAAUGUAAAUAUACUUCAAUUUGCAGAUGAUUUAGUGUUGUAUAGUUCAGAUGUAAAUUUAACAGUAGCCAUUGAAAAUGUUAACACUGCCUUAAGACAGUUAAAUAAUUAUUAUCAACACACAUUAAAAUUGAAAAUAAAUGCUGGCAAAAGUAAUUUAAUGCUAUUUGGAAAGGACACACCAGUAGUGGAUGUUGUCUAUAAUGGUGAUGUCAUUCAAAGAGUCACCUCACACAAAUUUUUAGGUAUUAUCAUUGACCAGAAAUUGUCAUUUGAAGAACAUAUUAAAUAUGUAUCUAGAAAUGCAUUAAAUGGUGUUAACAUUUUAAGAUGUCUAGCAGGUGUUACAUGGGGUGCAGAUCCCAAAAUACUUUCAUUAUUAUAUAAAUCUAUUAACAGAGCUUUGAGGAUCAUAUCAGGAGCAAUGUGUUCGACUCCCAUAAGGGCCAUGGAAGUCGAAACAAAUAUUAUGCCAUUGAUAUUGAGACGACUUAUGCUUGCAGAAAGAUACUGCCUGAAACUAUUAUCAUCAAAUAAUAUCCAAAUUAUAAAUAGGAUAAUACCUCACCCAAUCAAUAUAGAUGGUCCACUCACUUCACCAAAUGAUCUCCUGAGAGGUACAUCUCCAACUCUGUGCCAGAUCUUCUUAGAAAUACAAUCUCAUUAU